AGCGAACGUUAGCGGCGGGCCUAACACAUGCAAGUCGAGCGAGAAAGUGGCUUCGGCCAUCAGUAAAGCGGCGGACGGGUGAGUAACACGUAGGUAAUCUUCCCUUGAGCGGGGGACAACGUUUCGAAAGGAACGCUAAUACCGCAUACGUUUCCAGGGACCCUGGUCCCCGGAAGGAAAGCUAGGUCGCAAGAUCCGGCACUCGAGGAGGAGCCUGCGUCGCAUCAGCUAGUUGGUGGGGUAACGGCCUACCAAGGCGAAGACGCGUAGCUGGUCUGAGAGGAUGAUCAGCCACACUGGGACUGAGACACGGCCCAGACUCCUACGGGAGGCAGCAGUGGGGAAUAUUGGACAAUGGGCGCAAGCCUGAUCCAGCCACGCCGCGUGAGUGAUGAAGGCCUUCGGGUCGUAAAGCUCUGUGGGGAGGGACGAACCGCUGCUGGUUAAUACCCAGCAGCAUGACGGUACCUCCUUAGCAAGCACCGGCUAACUUCGUGCCAGCAGCCGCGGUAA
rnacentral:rRNA from 1 species